GGUAUCAAAUUUAUUAAAAAAUCAUUGGGAAUCGUGUUUUUUCUGUCUAUCUGAAUAUUUUGAAUAUUCCUUUUUUUUUCCCAUGUCUGUAACAGUAUGUUAAAACUUUAUGCUGAAGAACAGCAUAAGAAAUGGUAGCAAAAAUAGGAUGGAAGUACCUCUUCAAAUCUGAACUAAGCUAGAACUUCAGUUACAUGAUAUAUGCAAUACUUAUUUAACAAAUUUAUUGUAUUAAUGUACUAAUAAAAUCCUUCCAUGCUAUAAUUUUUAAUAAUUACAGAAUAAAUUACUGAAAAAAAGAAUCUCUGAUAACUAAUUUUUAAUUACUUUAUGUGACAAUUGUCUAAUAGAAGAUGUUCUGAGCUAGUUUGUAUGUCUGCUUAGAUAUUCAAGGGAAAUCAACAGCUAACUCAAUACAUUAGAUUUUAGUAUGUAGGUUAAAGGCCCUCAUGAAAAAUCCUUUGCCUAUGGGGAAAAUAACUGACUUGUAUUUUUUGAUUAACUAACAUAAAACCAAAAAAAUUUUAGCUGCAGAAAGGAUAAUGCUAGUCACUUGAGCUUCCCACUCACUUUACUCUCUCAUAUUCUUUUGCCUGCUGCUUUCCCCUGUUCUUUUUAAAAACUGUGCUUUAAAAUAGUCUACUUCUAGCCAGAUGUAAUAUUUGAAACCAGCACCAAUAAGACACUGCAGGUUUGUUUCCAUAUGCAAAGGUGCUUUUCUUAGUAUUGAGGUUAUGCCAACGUGUCCAAGUAUAUUAAUGACCACAGGCAAAAAACCCAACACUUUCCAUAAAGAAUCUAAUUAAUACACAACACAUAACAAAUUACGAGAAGCCAAAGUGUAAGGUUAAAUAGCCUUAACAUUAAAUUCUUCUUUUUUUCCUUGAUCAUGGGCUAUGUGGGGCACCUUAUCUCCUUCUGUGAUCAAGAGAGAGAAAAGAGCAACUGAGAGGUGUUCAUAGUAUGUGAAAUUCAUCAUCUUCUGGAGGUGUCUUUGAGCCAUUCUGAUGAGAACAGAACUUUCUUCUUAACUGAGCAUGGGUCUUCAGAGACAACCCUGGCAUGGACACUGUGCAACAGCUCUGGGUGCUUCACAUCAACUCAUUCCCAGUGGAAUGUAUAUAUUGUGAAAAAUAUCCAUCAUCGUGGUUGCACCUUGAAUGUAAGAAAUACUUAGAGAUAUUACGGCUGAAAGUGGGGUAGCUACCUGAUAUUCAGCCAGUGUAAGAGCAAUGCUGAGAUAAAUGAGGUGAACAGUCACAUGCUUUAUAGAGACUCAGGACUCAGAACCUAUUGAUUUUUCAAGUUACCUAUGGAAUUCUGCCUUGUGAGGUGCAAAAUGAAAAGGGAAAAUCACAAAACUUGAUAAAAUUCCCCAUGGACCCCACUUUAAUUAACUGUGUGUCCCUGAAGGAUCCUCAAGACUGGAGAAAGGCAUUUGUUAAACAAGGCAACACUUUCUAUGGGAAUGGAAAAUAACUACUCUCUUAAACUUCCUACAAAAAACAAAAAAGCACUAGUUAGGCUGGUUGUAUGAAUUACAUUAUAUAAGGUACAUCUUUUCAGAUGGAAAAUUUGAUGAUUUUCAACUCUUAUAAUGUGGUACUGCUGUUAGUCAAAUUAUUUUUAAUCUAUUUUGGCAGCUUUAUUAGCUUAGCUUGUA